rnacentral:snRNA from 1 species
GGAUGUGAGGGUGAUCUGGCCGUGACAUCUGUCACCCCAUUGAUCGCCAGGGUCGAUUUGGCUGAUCUGGCUGGCUAGGUGAGUAUCCCCAUCCUCCCUCACUGCUCUGUGAGCAUCCCUCCCAAAGCUGCGUACUCAGUGGAACAGGAUGACCUUCCCAGAUAGAGGAGGACCCUUCUUUUCUCAAGGGUACAUGAGUAGCUGGGCUCCCCUUCUGGAACCUCCAAACAAGCUCUCAAAAUUAUUCCUUAUAGUUCUGUAGUUUAGGAAGUGCAAGGUAAAGAGGACACAUCUGAUGAGAGCCUUCUUCCUGGUGGGGGCUCUGGAGAGUC